rnacentral:rRNA from 1 species
CCCUUAGAUGUCCUGGGCCGCACGCGCGUUACACUGAUGCAUUCAACGAGCUUAUAACCUUGGCCGAGAGGCCUGGGCAAUCUUGUUAACGUGCAUCGUGAUAGGGAUAGAUUAUUGAAAUUAUUAAUCUUGAACGAGGAAUUCCUAGUAAACGCAGAUCAUCAAUCUGCAUUGAUUACGUCCCUGCCCUUUGUACACACCGCCCGUCGCACCUACCGAUUGGAUGGUCCGGUGAAGCCUCGGGAUUGUGGUUCUUGCCGCUUUGUUGUGGCGUGACCGCGAGAACUUGUCUAAACCUUAUCAUCUAGAGGAAGGCGAAGUCGUAACA